ensembl:lncRNA
GCGCACUACUAAGGGUGUGUGAUAUUAAUCUGGUUUUCGUCCAGCUCUCACAUAGGCGUAGAAGGACAGUAAGUGCCUAGCAACAAUAUCCCCAUUGGAGUACUUUGGGAGUGUCCUGAUGUAAUUUAGUAAUGAAUGUGGUUGUGGUGGGUUCACACAGACAGAUGUAGCUUGGCUCAGUGGGCUGAGUCACAAACUGCAGACUCACACUGUCCUGUUUGAUUCUUGUUCAUGUUUGGUCUAUUUAUAGCUGUUUUAGGUAUUAAGUACAACAUCUCUUGUUACCAAGGCAAAGGCAACAAAUAACAGAUUAACUCUGAAUAUAAAUCACCUGUGGGAAUUUGACAAAGAGAGUUUGAUGUGAGCAUAUGAUGUUUAUAUAUGAUGCUAAUAUUCCAUAUGUCUGAAAAGCACAAAUAUGACUACUAAUUGUGUGAAUUCCUCUACUUUCAUUGAUUAUGUCUGUGCUUUAUGAGCGAUGCAAUUAUUAUUAUUUUUUACAGUACCUUGUUUUUUUCCAUUGUUAGAGAGGAUUUUUGAGGAACUCGUCAUUAUCAAAGCUGAGGAUGGAAGGUGCUAUUUUUGCAAUUUGUUGAAAACUCAGAUUUGCAUUUGGGGAUUUGCGCUAUAUAAAAAUAUGCAACUUUAUUUGAUUAAACUUGUCUCCGGGGCUAGAUUGGAUUUUAGGAUUGUUUAUUUUCAGAGGUGUGGGAUGUGAGUGGGGUGUUAUAUUACCUAUAAGUGUGUGUGUGGUUUUUUUUUUUUUUUUUUUUUUUUUUUAAACUUUCUUUUCAUUUGACUUUUUUAACAAUGCAUUCAGUGGGAAUGUCCAUUAAACCUUCAUCAGGUGUCAUGCGCUGUUCUUGUGCUGUUACUCUAGGGUUAUUUUUGCCUCUUUCAGCCCAGGAGGGAGAUUUUAGAGCUCUGAGAAACUAACCUUACUAAUUUCAUCAAGAUUUAACUGAAUUAGGAUUUGGAGGCCUCUGCUGCAAAGUAAGAUUGUGGAAUUUGAGUAGCUCAAGGCAUUCAGUAACCAGAAAGGUCUAAAUAAAGGUGCUCCUGCAGUUUGGGGAAGCCUUUGUAUCCUGUGUUUUAAAGAGAAAAAGUAGAAGUGAGGGUCUUUCAGUCUUUUGACUCUGUUUUGACCACUGGUUCUUUAACCCAUCCAUCCAUGCAUUCAUCCAUCCAUCCAUGGACAGGCUGUGGGGUUUGAGUCAGAGUUAUUCCUACACCACCCUAGGGAUUUAUUCUCCAGGUUGCCUCCUGACUGAGGUGAGUCCAACUGGGUGGAGACCCUGGGGGCAGAACCAGGACACGCCUGUUCUUUAAUCUGUUUUUUAUAACUUUGUGAAAAUACAACACGUUAAAGCAUAUUUUUUUAAAAAGUAACAGUAACACUGAUGGACAUAAAAAAAUGUGUAUUGCACAUUGCAGUUUUUCACUUUUGUUGUUUCUUCUCAUGCAGAAUUCUGUAAACCUACAUCUCUUUUUAAUUAGUGUUUUGUAUUGUUAAAUAGUGAAAUUACCUCCAAUAGUAGACACUGUUCUCUUAACAACAUGCACUCAGUAAAUGCAUUUGUUUGGUGACUCUGUGAAUGCUAAAUCCUCACAAACAUGCAAGAUGGUAU